rnacentral:rRNA from 1 species
UUCCAGCUCCAAUAGCGUAUACUAAAGCUGCUGCGGUUAAAAAGCUCGUAGUUGGAUCUCAGUUCCAGACGAGUAGUGCAUCUACCCGAUGCGACGGCUCGGACUGAACAUCAUGCCGGUCGUUUCUUGGUGCACUUCAUUGUGUGCCUCGAGAUGGCCGGUGCUUUUACUUUGAAAAAAUUAGAGUGCUCAACGCAGGCGAGUCGCCUGAAUAAACUUGCAUGGAAUAAUAGAACAAGACCUCGUUUCUGUUCUGUUGGUUUUGG